rnacentral:rRNA from 1 species
CUGCUCAGUAACACGUGGAUAACUUAACCUUAGGUCCGGCAUAACCCCGGGAAACUGGGGAUAAUUCCGGAUGUAUCAAGGAUGCUGGAAUGCCCUUUGGUUCAAAGCUUUUGUGCCUAAGGAUAGGUCUGCGGUCUAUCAGGUUGUAGUGGGUGUAACGUACCUACUAGCCGACGACGGAUACGGGUUGUGAGAGCAAGAGCCCGGAGAUGGAUUCUGAGACAAGAAUCCAGGCCCUACGGGGUGCAGCAGGCGCGAACACUUUACAAUGCGGGAAACCGCGAUAAGGGAACCCCGAGUGCCAGUACUAAGUGCUGGCUGUCUAGAUGAAUAGAUAUCAUUUAAUAGCAAGGGCCGGGCAAGACCGGUGCCAGCCGCCGCGGUAACACCGGCGGCCCGAGUGGUAACCGAUAUUAUUGGGUCUAAAGGGUCCGUAGCCUGUUUAAUAAGUCCUUUGGGAAAUCUGGCAGCUUAACUGUCAGGCUGCUAAAGGAUACUGUUAAACUUGGGACCGGUAGACGUAGGGGGUACUCCAGGGGUAGGAGUGAAAUCUUGUAAUCCCUGGGGGACCAUCUGUGGCGAAGGCGCCCUACGAGAACGGGUCCGACGGUGAGGGACGAAAGCUAGGGGAGCAAACCGGAUUAGAUACCCGGGUAGUCCUAGCUGUAAACGAUGCUCGCUAGGUGUCAGGCACGGUGCGUCCGUGUCUGGUGCCGCAGGGAAGCCGUUAAGCGAGCCACCUGGGGAGUACGGUCGCAAGGCUGAAACUUAAAGGAAUUGGCGGGGGAGCACUACAACGGGUGGAGCCUGCGGUUUAAUUGGAUUCAACGCCGG